UGAGGAUGGAGUAGCGUAGGAGGAAGCGCAUUGGACGGCGGGGGGGCGGUCACAUGACAGUGACAGCAUGUGCGCUUUAAAAGAAAGGAAAAUAGAGUUGGGCAUCAGAUGAGGAUCGGAGGCGACAUCUGCAAACUAACUGCGCCUCAUUUCUCUGCUGCUGCUCUUAUCUGCUUUUUAAAUGCUUUUUUUUUUUUUUUUUACACAAACACGGCUGAAAUAACUAAACUAUUCAGUUUCUGCAGAAUAAAGGCACAGCCCUUCACUGCGCUCGUCUUGAUCACAAUAGAGGGGAAGAGCGUCCAAUCAGAGAUUCACUCUUUCUAAAAGAGUUGACAAGAGCUUCUCCAGGGCCAGAACCACAUGG